rnacentral:rRNA from 1 species
AGCGAACGCUGGCGGCAGGCCUAACACAUGCAAGUCGAACGAACUCUUCGGAGUUAGUGGCGGACGGGUGAGUAACACGUGGGAACGUGCCUUUAGGUUCGGAAUAACUCAGGGAAACUUGAGCUAAUACCGGAUGUGCCCUUCGGGGGAAAGAUUUAUCGCCUUUAGAGCGGCCCGCGUCUGAUUAGCUAGUUGGUGAGGUAAAGGCUCACCAAGGCGACGAUCAGUAGCUGGUCUGAGAGGAUGAUCAGCCACAUUGGGACUGAGACACGGCCCAAACUCCUACGGGAGGCAGCAGUGGGGAAUCUUGCGCAAUGGGCGAAAGCCUGACGCAUCCAUGCCGCGUGAAUGAUGAAGGUCUUAGGAUUGUAAAAUUCUUUCACCGGGGACGAUAAUGACGGUACCCGGAGAAGAAGCCCCGGCUAACUUCGUG